rnacentral:tmRNA from 2 species
GGGGGUGACCGGCUUUGACGGUCUGUACCUUGAAGGAUGUGCGGCGCAGUGCUCUCCCGCUGACACUUAAAUCCAGCGGGAAAACAAACUUGCCAAGACAACUCUUGCAAGCGCGGUUAAGUCGCCUUACUUCGGUAAGGUCGGCGAUAUCGCGUUCGCCUACGCAACAGCUCGAGCGUAAGCUCGCUGUCGCCUAGCGCGACGUCUAUCCUCUCCAGUUUCUACAGUGGGAAGGAUGGGCGGAAUUACCUGUAGAAUCGAUGUCCGGUCUCCCGCCCGCGACAUCUAAAUUAGGGAUCGGGCAGGAAUGGUUUCGUCUGCGUUCUUCGCAUCCUGCUUUAAACCGCUUCGGCGGAUAACGCUGACUACGCGUCGUAGACUCUCUUUCAAUAACAGAUUCGGACGGGGGUUCAAUUCCCCCCGCCUCCACCA